rnacentral:misc_RNA from 1 species
GAUGAAGAACGCAGCGAACUGCGAUAAGUAAUGUGAAUUGCAGAAUUCAGUGAAUCAUCGAAUCUUUGAACGCACAUUGCGCCCGCCAGUAUUCUGGCGGGCAUGCCUGUUCGAGCGUCAUUUCAACCAUCAAGCCCCCGGCUUGUGUUGGGGACCUGCGGCUGCCGCAGGCCCUGAAAACCAGUGGCGGGCUCGCUGUCACACCGAGCGUAGUAGAUUUUCAUCUCGCUCAGGGCGUGCUGCGGGUUCCGGCCGUAAAAAGCCUUAUUUACCCAAGGUUGACCUCGGAUCAGGUAGGAAGACCCGCUGAACUUAAGCAUAUCAAUAAGCGGAGGA